rnacentral:lncRNA from 1 species
UCAAUAGUGGUGAACUUACGCAUUUGACGCCAAUGAGGUCCAUAUGGUGCAAAGCCAAUCAUGGCUUUGUGGUAACCCAUAAGCUCCGCGCAUGCAAGGUUUGGACGAGUUGCAAACGCUUUAUCGUUUAUGGUAAGACAUUCUUUCGCAACCUCCCAAUUGCUCACCACCAAAGCUCUCUGUACACCCAACUUGAUAGUGAAUAUUCUUCCAUAUUUGUCAGCCAUGUUAGCCAAGCUUAUGUGAGGUGGUUGUGGCCCUCCUAGGAGGCGGAGAUGGCCAAUAAUAGGGCAUGCUCCACCAGCUUCUGGUGCUGUUUUCUUCGAGUUUGUGUUUCCUCUUGAGAUCCAUAGGAAAGAGAAAAGAAACAG